AGAUUGAACGCUGGCGGCAUGCUUUACACAUGCAAGUCGAACGGUAACAGGCCGCAAGGUGCUGACGAGUGGCGAACGGGUGAGUAAUGUAUCGGAACGUGCCCAGUCGUGGGGGAUAACGCAGCGAAAGCUGCGCUAAUACCGCAUACGAUCUAUGGAUGAAAGCGGGGGACCGUAAGGCCUCGCGCGAUUGGAGCGGCCGAUAUCAGAUUAGGUAGUUGGUGGGGUAAAGGCUCACCAAGCCAACGAUCUGUAGCUGGUCUGAGAGGACGACCAGCCACACUGGGACUGAGACACGGCCCAGACUCCUACGGGAGGCAGCAGUGGGAAUUUUGGACAAUGGGCGCAAGCCUGAUCCAGCAAUGCGCGUGCAGGAAGAAGGCCUUCGGUUGUAAACUGCUUUGUACGGAACGAACGGUCCUAGGUUAAUACCGUGGGCUAAUGAACGGUACCGUAAGAAUAAGACACCGGCUAACUACGUGCCAGCAGCCGCGUAACG
rnacentral:rRNA from 1 species